ensembl:lncRNA
GAGAAAGGAGCCAGACACAAAAGACCACCCAUUGUUUGAUCCCAUUUACAUGAAAUUUCUGCAAAGAGGAGAUACUAUGGCUUUGGAAAGCAAAUCCGUGGUUUCCUAGAGGCUGCUGGGAACAGGGAUUGAGUACAAAGAGCGUGAGGAAAAGCCUCAGGGUGCCGGGACUGUCCUAAAACUGGAGUGUGGUGGUGGCUGCAUAGUUGUGAAAAUGAAGCCUUCACAGUCUGUUACCAGUCGAAUGGCAUGUUUCAAAUUUGACCAGCUUCAUUCUCAAGUGUUGGAAGGCCACAGGUGGCUACGGC